rnacentral:lncRNA from 1 species
AUGCAAUUUCAGGAUUGCUCCAGGAAAUAGCCUGUUGAGAAUUCAGUGCUAGGAGAAAGCUGUGCUUUCCAAAUGAAUCCUAUGCCUUCUAAAAAGACAUCCAUAUGAUCCACAUUUUCUUUCUUUGCCUUAGCUGCCAGGGAGCUAGCAGUUAAAUUAGGUGGCUCACAGCAAUCAUUAGCUCUUCUCUAUUUUCUCUACAAAUGUAUCUGCAAUAUUUUUUUUUCCAGAGUAAGGUCUUUCUCCCAGUGGAGAAAUCACUUGGGCCACUUCUGCAUCUAGAGUGUCAGACCCAAGCUAGGAAAAAGAAUCAUCUUUAAAAGUAUGUCAUCAGCACUCAAGACCUUUAAUGAGCCAGCGGAAUUGGUCUCCUGGUCCUCUCCUCACUCCACAGAGACUGAAAACUAUGUCAGUUCAUCGCCACGCAAUAUAUAUCAAGGACUACCAUGAGUCAGAGACUCUGCCAGCACUGGGCAAAGAAGGAAGAAGGCCUUGUCUGGGACAUCAUGGUGCUUAAAGUCUAGAGAAGUGUCCAGAGAAGUCAACAAGUGGGAAGAGGCCAGAAGUCUCAAAUUAAGGUG